UGUUCCCUUCAACUGAGAGAUGGAAGAAAUGGGCUCUGAACCAGUUGCUCCUCAUGAUUUCAAGAAGCUAACCCUGAAAAUGUGCAGCAUUGUACAGGAUCAGGAUGAAAUCUUGACCCUAUUGAUAUUAAUGGACACAAUAAUUUACAUCAACAAGACAAGAAGAUUUUCACUCCUUGGGAAACAAGCUAAUCCUGUUACAGGAAGAGUGAUUAAACUGCAUGAUUAAGGCUAUGGCACCUGGAAAAGAAGCAAAUACACAGUGUGCCUGCAAUUCAAAUUCUUUCAUCUAUGUAUACUCCCUCCCUGGAGCUGGCAGCUGCUACAGGAAACACUGGAGAAAAGGGCAAAAAUGAGAAAUUUCUGCUUGUUCUACUGCCACCAGCUGCCAAUCCCCUGAGCUGCUAAAGGCCAACCCACCUGCUCCAUGUUCCUUCUCACCAGCUAGCGGUAAAAAACACCACUAGGAAAAUGAUGUUUUCAUGCUACAGAAACCAGCAAACCAGAAGAAAAGCAAGGAACAGCUGCUGCCUUGAGAAACCUCAGCCUGCGCUCCAGGCUGAGCACUCAUCCCAGCCACAGACUGCAGAGCAAAGCAGGAGCAACAAAAGUGAAUUGCUCAAGGGAGUGCAAAAGUUUGAGCAUGAGGCAAAUGAAGCAUGAAAAACGAAGCAGUGAACCAAACAAUUAUUCACCACUACAAGAAAAUCCAUUAAAGAAAAACAAAGCCAUCUACAAUAGCGCAGCUGAGGGAGGUAGAGAUGAAAGCAUGGAAAACAAUCCCCCCCUGAAAAGCUAUCUUGAAAUUCUUGGAGUAAGGAAGAAAAGUAGGAGAACAGAGAGGGGGAAAAGGAAUGGGGGAAGGUAAAAUAUCAAAAUGUAAAUUAGUAAGCUUCAUCAGAGAACUCUUUCCAAGACAUGCAAGGAAAAGACUAAACAAGAGCUACUGCUUCUCUGGGCAUAGUGCCAUCUCAUCACAUGCAAGGAGAGAAUCUCAGAUAACUGAGGUAGAAUAACAAAUGAUCAUGGAAAUGGUAGGGUGAAUGGUGAAAAAAGGGGGUUUUGCCCUAUAAUCACAUUCAAGAUAUUGUACAUUCAUCAUCACUGUGUAGUUUUGUGAGGGUUUAAUUAGCAAUGAAUGUAAUUGAGGUCAGUUUACUGUGUUACUCUGUUACUAAGUAAA